GGAUACUACUGGAAACGGUAGCUAAUACCGCAUAAUGUCGCAAGACCAAAGAGGGGGACCUUCGGGCCUCUUGCCAUCAGAUGUGCCCAGAUGGGAUUAGCUAGUAGGUGGGGUAACGGCUCACCUAGGCGACGAUCCCUAGCUGGUCUGAGAGGAUGACCAGCCACACUGGAACUGAGACACGGUCCAGACUCCUACGGGAGGCAGCAGUGGGGAAUAUUGCACAAUGGGCGCAAGCCUGAUGCAGCCAUGCCGCGUGUAUGAAGAAGGCCUUCGGGUUGUAAAGUACUUUCAGCGGGGAGGAAGGUGUUGAGGUUAAUAACCUCAGCAAUUGACGUUACCCGCAGAAGAAGCACCGGCUAACUCCGUGCCAGCAGCCGCGGGUAAUACGAA
rnacentral:rRNA from 1 species